rnacentral:rRNA from 1 species
UACAGAGGGGGCAAGCGUUAUUCGGAAUUAUUGGGCGUAAAGGGCGCGUAGGCGGCUUUUCAAGUGGCGGGUGAAAUCCCUCGGCUUAACCGAGGAACUGCCUGCCAGACUGGAAGGCUUGAGACCGGGAGAGGUGAGUGGAAUUCCCAGUGUAGCGGUGAAAUGCGUAGAUAUCUGGAGGAAUACCGGUGGCGAAGGCGGCAUCCUGGACCGGCAUUGACGCUGAGGAGCGAAAGCCAGGGGAGCAAACGGG